CCUACGGGUGGCAGCAGUGAGGAAUAUUGGUCAAUGGCCGAAAGGCUGAACCAGCCAAGCCGCGUGAAGGACGAAGGUGCCAAGCAUUGUAAACUUCGUUUGUCAAGGGACAAAAUCAGGCUCGAGAGCCUGACCGAGGGUACUUGAAGAAAAAGCAUCGGCUAACUCCGUGCAAGCAGCCGCGGUAAUACGGUGGAUGCGAGCGUUAUCCGGCUUUAUUGGGUGUAACGGGUGCGUAGGCGGGCCGUUAAGUACGCGGUGAAAGCCCGGGGCUCAACCCCGGCGAGCCGUGGAAACUGGCUGUCUCGAGAUGUCGAGAGGUAUGCGGAAUGCGCGGUGUAGCGGUGAAAUGCUUAGAUA
rnacentral:rRNA from 1 species